rnacentral:rRNA from 1 species
UACGUAGGGUGCGAGCGUUGUCCGGAAUUACUGGGCGUAAAGAGCUCGUAGGUGGUUUGUCGCGUUGUUCGUGAAAACUCACAGCUCAACUGUGGGCGUGCGGGCGAUACGGGCAGACUGGAGUACUGCAGGGGAGACUGGAAUUCCUGGCGUAGCGGUGGAAUGCGCAGAUAUCAGGAGGAACACCGGUGGCGAAGGCGGGUCUCUGGGCAGUAACUGACGCUGAGGAGCGAAAGCGUGGGGAGCGAACAGG